rnacentral:rRNA from 1 species
CCAGACUCCUACGGGAGGCAGCAGUGAGGAAUAUUGGUCAAUGGGCGAGAGCCUGAACCAGCCAAGUCGCGUGAGGGAAGACAGUCCUAUGGAUUGUAAACCUCUUUUGUCGGGGAGCAAAAGCCGGACGCGUCCGGCUGUGAGAGUACCCGAAGAAAAAGCAUCGGCUAACUCCGUGCCAGCAGCCGCGGUAAUACGGAGGAUGCGAGCGUUAUCCGGAUUUAUUGGGUUUAAAGGGUGCGCAGGCGGAUUUUUAGGUCAGCGGUCAAAUCGUGGGGCUCAACCCCAUCCAGCCGUUGAAACUGGCGUUCUUGAGUGGGCGAGAAGUAUGCGGAAUGCGUGGUGUAGCGGUGAAAUGCAUAGAUAUCACGCAGAACUCCGAUUGCUAAGGCAGCAUACCGGCGCCCAACUGACGCUGAAGCACGAAAGCGUGGGUAUCGAACAGGAUUAGAUACCCGAGUAA